rnacentral:rRNA from 1 species
CAGUAGUCACGAGUUUGAUCCUGGCUCAGGAUGAACGCUAGCGGUAUGCUUAACACAUGCAAGUCGUACGGGAGUUUUUAACUCAAGUGGCGGACGGGUGAGUAACACGUGAGAAUUUACCUUUAGGAGGGGGAUAACAAUUGGAAACGAUUGCUAAUACCCCAUAUGCUUUUUUAAGUGAAACGGAUUUAUUCGCCUAAAGAAAAGCUCGCGGCUGAUUAGCUAGUUGGUAAGGUAAUGGCUUACCAAGGCGACGACCAGUAUCUGGUUUGAGAGGACGAUCAGACACACUGGAACUGAGACACGGUCCAGACUCCUACGGGAGGCAGCAGUGGGGAAUUUUCCGCAAUGGGCGAAAGCCUGACGGAGCAAUACCGCGUGAGGGAAGACUGCCUAUGGGUUGUAAACCUCUUUUUUCAGGGAGGAAUAAAAUGACGUGUACCUGAAGAAUAAGCAUCGGCUAACUCCGUG